rnacentral:lncRNA from 1 species
UCCUCUGGAGAGUGGGUCCAGGACUUACACUUGCAAACUUCCUGUUUCUUGGGUUGAGAAAAGAUGUAUACUACUCCCACGAGGAAAGAACGGCUAUCUUUGAUUAUAUCGUCAAAACGAAGAGGUUCGGAGAGGUUAAAGGCACAGUGUUUGGCUGGAUAUGGCCGAGGCCCAGAUGUGUUAACGACUAAACCCUUGUGAAAUUAACAACUGGAUCAUGGAGACUCUGCUGCU